UCUUUUGUUUCCAGCCUCCAAGAUUGAGCCAGCUUCCUCCUUCACAGGACAACCCUUCAGACUUGAAGACUCAAUGCUGCCUCUCCCAAGAGACCCAAGAAGCAGAAGGCAAAGCAGAAACAAAGAGAAAUCAGUGCAUGUUCCAGAGAGUCCAAGCAGGGGCCAAGGAAGGGCCUGAAUUUACUGGACCAAUGGUAUGACAUGGAGCAUGGUCAGAAGAUUAAGGCAGAAACACCCACCUGGAAAGCAUGGACCUAAGCAGGACCAGAGGCCAGCCUGUCUUGAUGCCAAGUGUCCUGCACUCCCGAGGCUGUGAAUUACUCCAUCCCAUAAGGAUGCCAUGGGAGACAAUGGCUGCUGGUCUCCUAGCUCCCACCCCACCACCUUCUUUUCUUGUGAGGCUCCAGAGUGUGAGUGCAGAUAGAAUUACAAGGGCCCCGGAAGAAGAAUAUCUGCAUGCACAGCCUCUUGAGCACAUAGUGGGUUCCUGA
rnacentral:lncRNA from 1 species